rnacentral:rRNA from 1 species
ACUUUUGUGACUGAGCGGCGGACGGGUGAGUAACGCGUGGGUAACCUGCCUCAUACAGGGGGAUAACAGUUAGAAAUGACUGCUAAUACCGCAUAAGACCACAGUACCGCAUGGUACAGGGGUAAAAACUCCGGUGGUAUGAGAUGGACCCGCGUCUGAUUAGGUAGUUGGUGGGGUAACGGCCCACCAAACCGACGAUGGAUAGGGGUUCUGAGAGGAAGGUCCCCCACAUUGGUACUGAGACACGGACCAA